UUGAACUCAGGUCAAGACCAUGACCUGAGCAGUGUUGGCUGCUUAACCGUCUGAGCCAUCCAGGUGCCCCAAUAUCCUCCGCUUUAACCUGUGAGCUCUGGCCGAGUCCUUGGGAUUCUGUCACAGAUUGGCAACAGGACCCCUUGGGACUGCCCAUUUGAACUCUGUUCACAGUGAGAGGCCUAGGUCGUAUGAAGUUGCCAAGCAGGUCAUAACCGUACAUUAUGGACAUUGUCAUGUGGUCCCAGAGGUUGGGUAGGGACUGGCCUUACACACGCAGAAGGGAGAAAUGAGGUCGAUAUGUGUGUGCCCAGCAUUAUCCCAUUCCCAUCUGUAAUGUAGAGCCUUCGUGUCCCUUGUGGCCAGCCAUUCUUGACAAUUUGCAUUUUCUAAGUCUUGGGUCCAUUUAGGGACGAGCAGGCUUUCACCCACGUCACACCAGCAGAGCCUAAAGAUUGGUGCUAAACUCCCACUCCGUUCCUGUGCUAUGUGAGAGUCAACAGUAACUUCCUCCCAAGGAGGGAGGGCCUUGUGGCCCUGAGUGCCUGGUUCUAGGCCACUGCAAGUGCAGUGAAGGGCAGACAGGCCUUCAUUCUGUGCCAGACAGGAUUCCCACGGGCAUGCUGUGCUCCAGGACCUGGUCAGCGCAGAAACGGCUCUUUCAAGAAUUACUCCAUCGGGUCCAGGUUCCACACACUUGAUCACCAGCUGAGAGCAGGAACUCCUUGUCUCAGAAUCAAAGGCUGCAUCUAUUUCCUGAUGGGAAGGACAGGACAACCCACCAGACCCAGUUUCCCCUCUGCUUCUGAAGAAAGGACACAGACCGCCUGCAGAACUUCACUCUCAGGUGUUGCCAGUGGAGAUUUCCUUUCCAGCCAGCCUGCCAGGAGACAGGAGUAGGCACUGAAUUCUAACUUUAGCCCAUUCUGUUCUGUAAGAAAGAACUGUAGUCCUCCAGGUGCUUAUUUGCAAUGUGUGCUCUAUUUUCAAACCGGUGCUACCUGGGAACCAUUGUGAGCAAGAGCUCAGAAGAAAGUCCUUUGUUCAAAUGAGAAGAUUCUGGAUUCCAUGGGGUGUGUCAGGUACACAGCUCUGUUACCAGCAUUGUUGUGGCAUACCCAGUCAGUCCCUGAGCCAAGGGACAGCACUCAGUGUCAGGUGUCCCAGAGGAAAGCAGGCCCUUCUGUCGCUGAGGGCUUGGUGGUCAGUCAGCUGGAGUGAAGCGCGAUGGGCAUCCAGCUGGCCUCCCUCCCCUGACUUAUAGAAGUGCCUUCAUCCUGCGGAGUGGAUGGUGCAUGCACGUGCACCGUGCUCCGGUCCUCUCUGGAGUACAUGGCAUUCAGUCUUUCAGUGGAAUGUCCUCGGCAUGCUGCUGGGGAUCCUACUGCAGUGCUUGUGACUAUGCGGUAAGUGUGACCGCAGGGCCCCUGGCAGGUGGGGGUCAAAACCAUGCAGGCAUUCAGAGGCCUAGAGCACCGGAAGGGGCCAGAAGAGAAUGUUUGCACUUGGACUCGGCCAGAGGCCUGGGAAGGGAGUUGGCCUCCUUUUCUAGCUGAGGGGACAUGAAGUUGUAUAGCCUCUUUCCAGAUCAAUCCCAUUGCCAUUGGAGGUAUUCACCUUUGGACCUCCUUAUGGCCAUUCCCUUCCCAUGGCUCUAAGUCUAACUAUGUCCCCGUUGAGACUUAGGAACCAUGGAGCUGUGAUUCACUCAGCCUGUGCCCAGGGAUCGAUUUUCACAGAAGCCUAUGCAUAUGGCAGGUGGGCACCAAGCAAGGCCACCCACCACGGCUAACAGUAGCACUUGCACUUAUUUGGACUUGGCUUUACCUUCCAGCUGGGGCACAGGGGGGCCAGUGGGAUCCCAGGCAUCAGUGCUGGGUUCGGGGCACAGCCACGAGGAGGUUUCUGGGUGAGGUGCCCAGGCAACAAGAGCCCCGUGCAUUAGGCUGCACCAUAGCUGACUCAGUGGCCCAGAAGAGCCACCCUGUGAUCAUGGUUUGGCAACCAUGGCACAGGCUUGUGCAGCACUGUCCUUCAGCAUCCUCAGCGGGAGCAACAGUGACAGUUCUGGCUGGCAAGUCUAUAUCGCUCACAGCCCCAAAGACAGUGGCAGAAGGCAGGGACUGGCAGACAGGGAGGGACCCAUGAGGGCAGCGCACCUGGUCUUUGCCUCUUUGCCAGUUCACUUCUCCCCUUUCAGGUUUGGAGGAUUAAUGUGCCCUCACAUGUAUGUCCUCUCAUGAAAGGGAUAUGCAUGAUGUGAGGUAUGGGACAAAGCCAGGAAGAACCUAUAAUGAGGAUGAACUGAGUCAAGAUGCGGGCCAGUGUGCAACAGGCCUGCAGGAAAUGCAGAGGGAGGUGGAAGACCAGGACUACCUUGCCUGUUCACAUAUCAGUCAGGUUGCAAUGGUUUAAAAUAAAUCGAUCUUGCCCUGA